UUUUCUAACUACUGCUCUUGCUUGUUUGUUUUUCUCUACCUACUGCUCUUACUUGGACUGUUUCGUCCAUGCUUGUAUUUGUUGCUGUCUUCUGACCCUUUUACUCACCAUGUGUUUGACAAAAUGUUCAAAUGAAACCAGACAAUGCUCAUGUGUUUGACAUCUGUUUAUGAGGUUUGGUAGUGCCCAGAUUGAAUUUAAUUGCUUUUUUCAAUUACCUGUUCAUGAGCUCUUAUUAGGUGCAAUUUUAGUUUGAGAUUGAAUUUCAUUUUUUUUGAAUGUUGGGCCUAAUUCAUUUUUUUCAUUUUCAUUUAUGAGCUCUGUACAUCCAAGCACUGCUUUGGGCCUAAUUCGAUUUUUCUCCACCAGUUGCUUUUCUUCUUUAAUCCACAACAUGUUGCUGAUUUCUCUGCUCUUGUAGAGACAUGCCGAUUACUUCAACAGUUUGUUCAAGAAAGUGGAGGGAGGUUGGUGUAUCAGAGCACCAAGAAGAGGGCCAGUGGACCCAAAUGUUCACUUUCCCAGAGCACCAAGAAUUAUAUAGGCCAUGGGUUGCAUGAGUUCUAAAAGGGUAAUCUAUGUGACCCCACGUCCAACUCAAAGCUAUGGUGGUCAACCUCUAGAGCCAGAAAGGAAGUUUGAGAACAUAGACGAGUUGGUGUCUUCAGAAAGAAAGGUACCAAACUAUAUGAAGCAAGCUUGAAGGAUGAGAAGCGUUUAGAUCAAUGGCUUCAUUGUUAAAUUAAGCAAGUGUUUUAGUAAAUAAAUUUAAUUUUCCCAUCAUGUUUACACCUUCAAAAUAUUCUGUAAAUGACAUUUGAUGUAGAAUUUUUUGUACAGAGGACAUCUUUUUUGUAUGAUUUUGUGUUUGUAUGGAAUUAUUAUUUUGGGUUGGAUUGUA